rnacentral:rRNA from 1 species
UGGGGAAUUUUGGACAAUGGGGGAAACCCUGAUUCAGCCAUCCCGCGUGUGCGAUGAAGGCCUUCGGGUUGUAAAGCACUUUUGGCAGGAAAGAAACGUCAUGGGUUAAUACCCCGUGAAACUGACGGUACCUGCAGAAUAAGCACCGGCUAACUACGUGCCAGCAGCCGCGGUAAUACGGAGGGUGCAAGCGUUAAUCGGAAUUACUGGGCGUAAAGCGUGCGCAGGCGGUUCGGAAAGAAAGAUGUGAAAUCCCAGAGCUCAACUUUGGAACUGCAUUUUUAACUACCGGGCUAGAGUGUGUCAGAGGGAGGUGGAAUUCCGCGUGUAGCAGUGAAAUGCGUAGAUAUGCGGAGGAACACCGAUGGCGAAGGCAGCCUCCUGGGAUAACACUGACGCUCAUGCACGAAAGCGUGGGGAGCAAACAGG